UCGAGCGGGAUUGGCCCAGCAAUGGGCCAUGAGAGCGGCGCACGGGUGAGUAACGCGUACACGACCUACCUCUAACAGGGGGAUAGCCCUGGGAAACUGGGAUUAAUACCGCAUAUAAUUUAGGGAAUAAAGUUUCUAAAUGAAAGUUCAGGCGGUUAGAGAUGGGUGUGCGUCUGAUUAGCUAGUUGGUAAGGUAACGGCUUACCAAGGCGAUGAUCAGUAGGGGGCGUGAGAGCGUGGUCCCCCACACGGGUACUGAGACACGGACCCGACUCCUACGGGAGGCAGCAGUAAGGAAUAUUGGUCAAUGGGCGCAAGCCUGAACCAGCCAUCCAGCGUGCAGGAAGAAGGCCCUAUGGGUUGUAAACUGCUUUUGUCAGGGAAGAAACCUUGGGAUUUACUCCUGAGCUGACGGUACCUGAAGAAUAAGCACCGGCUAACUCCGUGCCAGCAGCCGCGGUAAUACGGAGGGUGCGAGCGUUA
rnacentral:rRNA from 1 species